UACGUAGGUGGCAAGCGUUGUCCGGAUUUACUGGGCGUAAAGAGCGCGCAGGCGGUCGGAUCAGUCGAAUGUGAAAGCCCCCGGCUCAACUGGGGAGGGUCAUUCGAUACUGUCCGACUCGAAGGCAGGAGAGGGAAGCGGAAUUCCCGGUGUAGUGGUGAAAUGCGUAGAUAUCGGGAGGAACACCUGUGGCGAAAGCGGCGCACUGGACCACAUCUGACGCUGAGGCGCGAAAGCUAGGGGAGCAAACAGG
rnacentral:rRNA from 1 species